UUCGGGAACCUGGAGACAGGUGCUGCAUGGCUGUCGUCAGCUCGUGUCGUGAGAUGUUCGGUUAAGUCCGCUAACGAGCGCAACCCUCGCUGUGUGUUACAAGUGUCACACGGAACUGCCGGUCAUAAACCGGAGGAAGGUGGGAUGACGUCAAGUCAGCAUGGCCUUUAUAUCCUGGGCUACGACACACGCUACAAUGGGAAGGGACAAUAGGUUGCGAAGCCGCGAGGCGGAGCCAAUCCAGCCAAAAACUUCCCUCAGUUCAGAUUGCAGGCUGCAACUCGCCUGCAUGAAGUUGGAGUUGCUAGUAAACGCAGGUCAGCCAUACUGCGUUGAAUACGUUCCCGGGGCUU
rnacentral:rRNA from 1 species